rnacentral:RNase_P_RNA from 1 species
CGGUUUGUCGCUGGCGUCAUAUGAUGACGAAAGAGGAAAGUCCGGGCAGUACAGGGCAUCCCACUACUGAAAGUAGUAGUAGUCCGUGAGGGCUAAGUAACGUAGAAGAAAACAACCGCAUCGGCUUGUCUGAUGUAAGGGUGAGAAGGUGGGGUAAGAGCCCACCAGUGUUAUGGUGACAUGACAGCUGUGCGUCUUGGGAACUGCAAGUUCAUGUAAACUGCCGCAUGAGGAUUGCCCGUCCGAGGCAGAGGGUAGAACGCUUGAGCUGUAUGGUGACAUACAGAGUAGAUAAAUGACAGACACCAGCUGGUGUGGCAGGAAUCAGCUACUGCCAGCAGGAACAGAACCCGGCUUAUAGGAAC